AAUGUUUUUUCACAUACCAUGACAUCAAAAGUAAAUACUAUUCAAUAUGCAAUAUGUGGAUUGAGUGAUUUAUUAUCUAAAUGCUACUUCCAACAUAUCUCAAUCCACUGCUCUUAACGAUGUAGCGAGCAGAUUUUUAUUUGGUUUGUCACAACUGCAUCAAAAGUGGGCCGAUGUAUAGUAUGUACUAUCCACAGCUGGUUGUGCGAAAGAAGCAUGCGGAAAGUGAAUAAAUUUUAAUAAUAGCACUACAAAUACGGUGUAACGUUUAUUUGUUCUCCCUCUGAACUUCGAAUGCACCGCUUUAUGGACUGAUAAUGGUGUCCGAGUACGAACAGCUUGCAUACGACUGGAGAACUGAAAAGCAGCCCCUCGCCAUUAUCGUCAAUGGUUUCGAGCCACUCGACCAGAACUGCCUGGAUAAAGGAACACGCAGAUUUUUUCUCAUCGGUGUUAUUUUUUCAUUUCCUAUCGAAUUCAGCGAUAGGAAAAGGUGGUUCGUGUCCGGAAACAUAGGGAUGUGAUAUCUGUGGACAAUUGAUUUUUAAUAGGACCAUAUUCAGCUUAUGCAUAUUAGCCGGAAGGCAAUGGUCGCAGCAUAUGUUAAGGGAGUUACAACAACAUGAAAUUGUACGCGAAUGCAUUUGCUUAUUUCGAGGAAAAUGUAUAGAUAAGCACACUCAUUCAAGAAUGGCUACAACGCUAAAUUCAAAACUCAACAUAUAUUUAGACACGCUACGUCGAUUCUACCGUUUUCAUUGAAAUGUCUUUCAUCUAUGUAGUGAUAAUAUGCUGUAGAUUUACGACCGGAUGAAUCAAUCAAGUUAGUUAGUACAUCUUAUUGCAUUAACUACUCAACGGAUUGAUGUAGCUACCUAAUAGGACAAAUUAAAUAUUUUAUGACUUUCUCAUAUAAUACGUGAAGAUAAAAAAUGUCCGUGAAUAUGAUUGAAUCGAUUUUCACAAAUUUAGAAGGAAAUAAAAGGUGUUAUGGUCCCAUAUAUUGUUAUUGAAUUUUAUCUUUUAUCAAUUAAUGCGUUUUAAGUGAAAAAAAUCAACUCAUUUUUUACCGUACCAUACUAAUCAGUUCGUCGAUAUCGCAAAAUAUCAUAUGUGCAUAUGUGGAUCUGGGUGUGUAACGUGGAUCAAAGUUGUAACCUCAAAGCUAAAUGUUCUUCGUUUUAAAAACCUUCCAACCUAUAAGCAGCUGAAGCAGCCAGAACUUUGCCGGGGCGAUAAUAACACUCAAACGCUCGGGUUGGGAUUUUCAUCGAUUUUUUUUUUCAAAAAUUUGUGACUACUGAAUAAAUUGACCGAUCUUGAUGCAUUUGGUGUCAGAAAAACCGGGUAUUCUUUAAUUUCAUUCUGUCUUAAUCGGUGUUGAUAUGGUCCAAAAACACCGGUGUUAUUCUAGAUCGCCUUGGGGUAAGUCGGUUUUGCCAUUUGGGGAUUAUUGAUUUUUGAAUUCAUUUUUUCACCGCGAUCUUAAUUGUAACGUUGCUAACUAUAAACUGUCAAAGUUAGGAUUCGAUCAGUGGCGCGACAUGUGUCGACAAGUUAAGCCCGUAUUAGAGUGAGUUGCGCUGCGGUACACUCCGCGUGUGCGGGUCGUGAUUGAAAAAUUCACUUGCUCCGAAAGUAUUAAUCUUUCCACUCUGAAACUUUGCCAAGAUUGAGUUAAACCCCUAUGCCCUAGCACAAAAUUUGGCUAACCCCUGAAUGCCCUAAGGCAUCUUUUUUUAACUAAAAAUAAAACAAAAAUAGUUUGAAAUUUUUUUAAUUUGUUUAUUUAUUUUUAACUUUUUUAUUAAAUAAACUAUAAAGGUUGUUCAAUGGAAUCGCUUACUUGAAAGCUAAAUAAAAGACGCACAUUUCAUGUCUUAUACUAAUUUUUGUAUCUUUAUUAGAUUUUACAGUAUAGGCUGUUGAAAAAAGGCUCAUUUUUGUAAACGCGAAACAUAAAAAAUCAUGUCUCGAAAAUUCCACGUACAAUAUUGAAAUAAAAAAUACAUGUCGAAUAUUUUCGAGUUCUUUACCGAAAAAAAAUAGUUGGAUGUAAAAAAAUAUUGGGUGGCUGAUUUUGCGUGGAAUGCCCCAUCUAUAUCUACUCUGAAAUUGUUUGUGACCAUGAAUACUUUUCAUUCCCACUAGAACGUUGAGCAAUCAACAAAAUAGCAAGGCGACUCUACUAAGGAGUGUAUCGAAAAUAAGCUAUUCAUAUACAUUUGUGCUGUACGCAUGUAUUUGUGAAAAUUGGAGAAGCGGUUUAGAAUUCAUCAUACCAGUGUUAAAACCAUCAUUAAUAAGUUUGGGGAACACUACUCUUUGGAUGAGCUACCAGGAAGAGGCAGAAAACCCCAUUCUUCCAACCCGAAACUGGACCAGAAAGUGGUAUCUCUAAUCAUGAAGAACAAAUCAAUGUCAAUACGUGAUUUGGCCAAAAAAGCGGGAACGAGUGUCGGAAUGAUCCAGCGUAUCAAGAGGCGAAAUCACAUAAAGACCUACAAGAAGCAGAAAAUCUCGAAACAAAGUGUAGAAGAAGCGAGCAGCAACAAGGGCCCUGAAAUUGUAUGCGCGUCUUUUGCAGUGUCCGGAUGCAUGCGUUUUGAUGAACGAUGAGACUUAUGUAAAGGAGGACACCAAAACCCUUCCAGGUCCACAAUACCGGAACUAUAAACGCAGAAAUAUUCGAUCUGAGUGUCUCCAGAAGAGAUUGCUGCCUUUAUAUAAGAAGCAUAGUACACCUCCACUGUUUUGGCCGGAUUUAUCGUCGGCUCACUAUGCCAAAACCACUCUCAAUUGGCAUGCGGAAAAGGGUAUAAACUUCGUUUAGAAAAAUAUCAAUCCACUAAAUUGCCCUCUGCUUCGACCCAUCUAACGUUACUGGGCAAUCGUAAAGUAGGUCUUCAAGAAGACUGGUAAGGCAGCUGGGAACAUGCAGGAGUUCAAAAAAAUUUGGGCUCAAGCGUCCAAAAAAUGCGAUUCUACACUUGUCCGGAAUUUGAUGAAGAGCUUUCGAUCAAAACAUCGAAAAUUCGUGAAUGAAUAUCUUAAAUUU